AUGUACUCACCGGCCUUCUGCGCCGCCUGCACCACCGAGGGGAUUGGUAGCUGCGGGCUCACCCACAUGGCCGUCACCCCGCUUGACCUCGUCAAGUGCAACAUGAAGGUGAGGGCCUAG
rnacentral:rRNA from 1 species